rfam:Myotis brandtii contig212542, whole genome shotgun sequence.
GGUGGGGGGAAGAGGUCCCUCAGCCCAGAUUGCAAGAGGGUGCAGGCCAGGCUGAGGGACCCCAGCGGUGCACA